rnacentral:rRNA from 1 species
GGGUUGUGAGGUUAAGCGACUAAGCGUACACGGUGGAUGCCCUGGCAGUCAGAGGCGAUGAAGGACGUGCUAAUCUGCGAUAAGCGUCGGUAAGGUGAUAUGAACCGUUAUAACCGGCGAUUUCCGAAUGGGGAAACCCAGUGUGUUUCGACACACUAUCAUUAACUGAAUCCAUAGGUUAAUGAGGCGAACCGGGGGAACUGAAACAUCUAAGUACCCCGAGGAAAAGAAAUCAACCGAGAUUCCCCCAGUAGCGGCGAGCGAACGGGGAGCAGCCCAGAGCCUGAAUCAGUGUGUGUGUUAGUGGAAGCGUCUGGAAAGGCGCGCGAUACAGGGUGACAGCCCCGUACACAAAAAUGCACAUACUGUGAGCUCGAUGAGUAGGGCGGGACACGUGGUAUCCUGUCUGAAUAUGGGGGGACCAUCCUCCAAGGCUAAAUACUCCUGACUGACCGAUAGUGAACCAGUACCGUGAGGGAAAGGCGAAAAGAACCCCGGCGAGGGGAGUGAAAAAGAACCUGAAACCGUGUACGUACAAGCAGUGGGAGCACGCUUAGGCGUGUGACUGCGUACCUUUUGUAUAAUGGGUCAGCGACUUAUAUUCUGUAGCAAGGUUAACCGAAUAGGGGAGCCGAAGGGAAACCGAGUCUUAACUGGGCGUUAAGUUGCAGGGUAUAGACCCGAAACCCGGUGAUCUAGCCAUGGGCAGGUUGAAGGUUGGGUAACACUAACUGGAGGACCGAACCGACUAAUGUUGAAAAAUUAGCGGAUGACUUGUGGCUGGGGGUGAAAGGCCAAUCAAACCGGGAGAUAGCUGGUUCUCCCCGAAAGCUAUUUAGGUAGCGCCUCGUGAAUUCAUCUCCGGGGGUAGAGCACUGUUUCGGCAAGGGGGUCAUCCCGACUUACCAACCCGAUGCAAACUGCGAAUACCGGAGAAUGUUAUCACGGGAGACACACGGCGGGUGCUAACGUCCGUCGUGAAGAGGGAAACAACCCAGACCGCCAGCUAAGGUCCCAAAGUCAUGGUUAAGUGGGAAACGAUGUGGGAAGGCCCAGACAGCCAGGAUGUUGGCUUAGAAGCAGCCAUCAUUUAAAGAAAGCGUAAUAGCUCACUGGUCGAGUCGGCCUGCGCGGAAGAUGUAACGGGGCUAAACCAUGCACCGAAGCUGCGGCAGCGACGCUUAUGCGUUGUUGGGUAGGGGAGCGUUCUGUAAGCCUGCGAAGGUGUGCUGUGAGGCAUGCUGGAGGUAUCAGAAGUGCGAAUGCUGACAUAAGUAACGAUAAAGCGGGUGAAAAGCCCGCUCGCCGGAAGACCAAGGGUUCCUGUCCAACGUUAAUCGGGGCAGGGUGAGUCGACCCCUAAGGCGAGGCCGAAAGGCGUAGUCGAUGGGAAACAGGUUAAUAUUCCUGUACUUGGUGUUACUGCGAAGGGGGGACGGAGAAGGCUAUGUUGGCCGGGCGACGGUUGUCCCGGUUUAAGCGUGUAGGCUGGUUUUCCAGGCAAAUCCGGAAAAUCAAGGCUGAGGCGUGAUGACGAGGCACUACGGUGCUGAAGCAACAAAUGCCCUGCUUCCAGGAAAAGCCUCUAAGCAUCAGGUAACAUCAAAUCGUACCCCAAACCGACACAGGUGGUCAGGUAGAGAAUACCAAGGCGCUUGAGAGAACUCGGGUGAAGGAACUAGGCAAAAUGGUGCCGUAACUUCGGGAGAAGGCACGCUGAUAUGUAGGUGAAGUCCCUCGCGGAUGGAGCUGAAAUCAGUCGAAGAUACCAGCUGGCUGCAACUGUUUAUUAAAAACACAGCACUGUGCAAACACGAAAGUGGACGUAUACGGUGUGACGCCUGCCCGGUGCCGGAAGGUUAAUUGAUGGGGUCAGCGCAAGCGAAGCUCUUGAUCGAAGCCCCGGUAAACGGCGGCCGUAACUAUAACGGUCCUAAGGUAGCGAAAUUCCUUGUCGGGUAAGUUCCGACCUGCACGAAUGGCGUAAUGAUGGCCAGGCUGUCUCCACCCGAGACUCAGUGAAAUUGAACUCGCUGUGAAGAUGCAGUGUACCCGCGGCAAGACGGAAAGACCCCGUGAACCUUUACUAUAGCUUGACACUGAACAUUGAGCCUUGAUGUGUAGGAUAGGUGGGAGGCUUUGAAGUGUGGACGCCAGUCUGCAUGGAGCCGACCUUGAAAUACCACCCUUUAAUGUUUGAUGUUCUAACGUGGACCCGUAAUCCGGGUUGCGGACAGUGUCUGGUGGGUAGUUUGACUGGGGCGGUCUCCUCCUAAAGAGUAACGGAGGAGCACGAAGGUUGGCUAAUCCUGGUCGGACAUCAGGAGGUUAGUGCAAUGGCAUAAGCCAGCUUGACUGCGAGCGUGACGGCGCGAGCAGGUGCGAAAGCAGGUCAUAGUGAUCCGGUGGUUCUGAAUGGAAGGGCCAUCGCUCAACGGAUAAAAGGUACUCCGGGGAUAACAGGCUGAUACCGCCCAAGAGUUCAUAUCGACGGCGGUGUUUGGCACCUCGAUGUCGGCUCAUCACAUCCUGGGGCUGAAGUAGGUCCCAAGGGUAUGGCUGUUCGCCAUUUAAAGUGGUACGCGAGCUGGGUUUAGAACGUCGUGAGACAGUUCGGUCCCUAUCUGCCGUGGGCGCUGGAGAACUGAGGGGGGCUGCUCCUAGUACGAGAGGACCGGAGUGGACGCAUCACUGGUGUUCGGGUUGUCAUGCCAAUGGCACUGCCCGGUAGCUAAAUGCGGAAGAGAUAAGUGCUGAAAGCAUCUAAGCACGAAACUUGCCCCGAGAUGAGUUCUCCCUGACUCCUUGAGAGUCCUGAAGGAACGUUGAAGACGACGACGUUGAUAGGCCGGGUGUGUAAGCGCAGCGAUGCGUUGAGCUAACCGGUACUAAUGAACCGUGAGGCUUAACCUUACAACGCCGAAG